rnacentral:lncRNA from 1 species
CAGAAAUGAACCUGACAAAAUGGAGCUGGUGACAGUUUUCCUUUCUCUAAAAAACUUCUACCGAAACAGACUCUAUUAAUCGCGGGUGCAGCUACUAUUCCAAGAAACUGCGUGAAGACAUUUUUUUCUUUCUCAGUAGCUGUUCAUCACCGUGAAGGAGACGAUGACGAGGUUCCCAACCCAAGCACUGGGCUACGCGCCUCUUCCACGCUGCACGAGACGAGAAGUCCAGCCCAUUUGAGUCCCAAGAU